UCAAUUAAAUAAAUCAAACGAGGCCCAACGAAGAUAAUAAAUAACCAAGGCCCAACUGAAAUGAUACAGCAGCCCAACUAAGUGAAUAAUCAAAGGCCCAUAUAAAUAAAAUCAGAGGCCCAAUCAGUAAUUAAAAACGGCCCAAUUACAAUAAAUACAACAAGGCCCAAAAAUAAAUAAAUAAUGAAGCCCAAAGAAAAUAAAAUAAAGGCCCAAAUUUUCGGCCCAACUCAAUUAAAUAUAAGCCCAAAACAAAUUGAAGAGCCCAACUCCAAAUACACUCGGUUCUCUCUCUCAGCAAUAAUACACUCAUCUCUCUCUCUCU
rnacentral:lncRNA from 1 species